rnacentral:lncRNA from 1 species
AUAAUAAGAAAUCUUAAAAGAGUUGAAAAAAAUCCAUAAUAAAUCUUAAAAAGAAUCCUUAAAAAGCUCUAAAAAAUAUUAAAAUAAUCACAAAUAUAUCUUAAAUAAAUUUCAACAAAGUUCUAAUUUAAUCUUAGUUGAAAUCCUAAUAAAAUUGAAUCAAAUCCUUGACAAGUCUUAAAUCCUAAAUCAAAUCUUAGAUCAAAUCUUAGAUCUUAAACAAAACCCUAAAUCAAAUCCUAUACAAAGCUUAAAUCCUAAAUCAAAUCUUAGACAAUUCUUAAAUUCUAAACCAAAUCUUAAAUCAAAUCCUAGAAAAAUCCUAAAUCCUAAAUCAAACCCUAAAUCAAAUCCUAGAUCCUAAAUCAAAUUCUGAAUCAAAUACUAAAUAGAUCUUAAAUCCUAAAUUUUAAACUAAAUCCUAGCCAAAGCCUAAAUCCUAAACCAAAUCCUAGAUAAAUCUUACAUCCUAAAUCAAAUCCUAAAUCAAAUCCUAACCCUAAAUCAAAUUUUAUCAAAAUCUUAGUCAAUCCAAUCUAAUCCUAGUACUAUUUAGAACCUCAAUAUCUAUGAAUUAAAUCAUUGAUUUUACCUAAAAAUUUGUA